UUGGACCACAGUAGGAACUCCAAAAAACCAUUUCCCCAAGAGUUUUGAGGACCGUGGCAGGCAGGAAAAUGGCCCUCAAGCAUGUUUACAUCUUAAUCCCUGAAACCUGUGAAUCUGCUGCCUUAUAGGACAGGUGUGAUGAAGUUAAGAAUCUUGAGAUGGGAGUUCCCGUCGUGGCGCAGUGGUUAACGAAUCCGACUAGGAACCAUGAGGUUGCGGGUUCGGUCCCUGCCCUUGCUCAGUGGGUUAACGAUCUGGCGUUGCUGUGAGCUGUGGUGUAGGUUGCAGACGCGGCUCGGAUCCCACGUUGCUGUGGCUCUGGCGUAGGCCAGUGGCUACAGCUCCGAUUCGACCCCUAGCCUGGGAACCUCCAUAUGCCGUGGGAGCGGCCCAAAGAAAUAGCAAAAAGACAAAAAAAAAAAAAAAAAAAAAAAAAAAAAGAAUCCUGAGAUGAAUUUAUCCCGGAUUUUCUAGGUGGGCCCCAUCUAAUCACAGAAAUCCUGAAAAUCAGAGAAUCUUCCCCAGGUGUGGUCCCACAGCUCAGCCAAGGAGGCACACUAGUCUUGGCCUGAUGGCAGAGGGACAAGGAGUCAGCCCACCAUUGCUGGUUUUGACACUAGAGGAGGAAGCGGGCAUGAGCCUGUGAAUGUGGUGGCCACUGGAAGCUGAAUGAGGCAAGGAGAAGGAUUCUCCCCUAGAGCUUCAUGAAGGAAUGGACACCUUGAUUUUAGCCAAUGAGACCUGUGUUGGACCUCUGACCUAACAUUAUAAGACAAUAAGUUUGUAUUCCUGUCAGUCACCAAGUCUGUGGUUAUUUGUUACAGCAGUAACAUAAAGAUGAUGUAAUCUUGUCAUCUUUAUACAAAGGCUGACAAUGAGGAAAUAGAAAAGUCUAUCUUGAAGCCACUGAACUGGGAAGAAACUAUGGAACUUGGAGAACACUAACCAGGCAUGGCAUCAGAAAUGGAAAGCUAUAUCUGAUUCUGAUUACAAGAGCAAUUAAAGAAAAGGCAGUAGGACAGAAUAAGCAACUCAUUAUUAUGGGAAACACUUUAAGGCAGUCUAUAGGGAAGUAUAAUAAAGUCAUUAUUUAUCCACGCAAUCUUCUGGCUAUAAUUUUGACAAGCAUGUACUAGGAGAAAAGCCACAUUUAAAAAAAAAAUCCUUCCACAGAAACUUUCUACAGGUUUCAUUUAACUGAUGGCUAUUCCAGAAAUGUGCAGCUCUAUGAUCACUUCUAGUUCUUUCUAUAGACAGUAUGACAAUAAGGUAAUAAGCCCUAGUGGUGUGUACCAUGAACCAACACACACACUCACACACAGUCUCAAUUUGCUGGGCUUCAUGAGCCCACAAAUAAUGCUCACAGGGAAGGAGAAAAAAAAUGUGUACAGAAAGUCCACUGAUUGGUUUACAAACAGAACUCUAAACUGGCACAGCCAAAAAGGACCUCAAAAUUAGAACCACACCUAAGAAUAUACUUAGGGACAGAUUAAACAAAGUACAGUAGCUGAGUGUGCUGGGCUCAGCCAAAGAGGCAGACUAGCAGAAUCCCAAAGAUUCAGGAAACACUGAGAUGCCUCAUCUGACAGAUGAGAAACCAGAAUCACAGAGCACUAAAAUGAAGACAACUCACAAAGUGCAGAGAGGCCUCACCUGCCUGAACAGGAGCUUACCCAUGAUGCCCUGCUACCCAGCAGAUGGUGAUGUGGUGCCAGGCCCUGUCCAAGGUAACAGAACUUCAGAUUCCUUUCUGAGAAAACCUGGGGGCCAGAUGUUAUUUUUUAACCAACUUGGGGGGAAAAAAAACCCUCUCCUUUUCUGGAGCUCAGUGGACAUCAAGAUGGGAAAUAAGGAAUGGUGAACCUAUAAAAGAAAGUUGGGAGUUCCCAUCAUGGUGCAGCAGAAACAAAUCCGACCAGGAACCAUAAGGUCACUGGUUCAAUCCCUGGCCUUGCUCAAUGGGUUGAGGAUUUGUUGUUGCUAUGAGGUGUGCGGUGUAGGUCUCAGACAUGACUAGGAUCCUGCAUAGCUGUGGCUAGACCGUAGGUCGGCAGCUGUAGCUCCGAUUAGACCCCUAGCCUGGGAACCCCCAUAUGCCGCAGGUGCAGCCCUAAAAAGACAAAAAAAAAAAAAAAAAAAAGGGAGUUCCCGUCGUGGCGCAGUGGUUAACGAAUCUGACUAGGAACCAUGAGGUUGCGGGUUCGGUCCCUGCCCUUGCUCAGUGGGUUAACGAUCCGGCGUUGCCGUGAGCUGUGGUGUAGGUUGCAGACGCGGCUCGGAUCCCGCGUUGCUGUGGCUCUGGCGUAGGCCGGUGGCUACAGCUCCGAUUCAACCCCUAGCCUGGGAACCUCCAUAUGCCGCGGGAGCGGCCCAAGAAAUAACAACAACAACAACAAAAAGACAAAAAGACAAAAAAAAAAAAAUUAAAUAUUAUACAAAGAUUACAUAACGUCGCCUGUAAAUCUAGCAAGCACAGAAGUUCCAGUUGUGGUUCAGCAGUAAAGAACCUGACUAGUAUCCAUGAGGACGUGGGUUUGAUCACUGGCCCUGCUCAGUGGGUUAAAGAUUUGGCAGUGUCAUGACCUGCAGUGUAUGUUGCAGACAUGGUUCAGACCUGGUGUGGCUGUGGCUGUGGUGUAGGCCAGCAGGUGCAGCUCCAAUAUGCCCCCUAGCCUGGGAACUUCCAUAAGCCACAGAUGGGGCCCUAAAAAGAAAAAACAAAAUCUAGCAAGCACAAGAGUUAGACAUCACUUUAGGGAGGAGGGGAAACAGACCAUUCUUAGUUACUGGAGCCGAGAACUCUGUUAAAUAACAUAUGCCAUCCCAGUGGACAGAGGGGCUUGAAAUUAUGUUUUGAAGGUCACACGUAAGACUGGGGACUCGCCAUACGAAGCAUAUUAUUGGGGAGGGAGAGGGAGGAAAGUGCCCCUUCCUCUCCAGAUCCCCACUUAGGGCUAACUCUAACCUUGGUGGCUCUGAAAAAUGCUAGGAGAGGGGGUGAAGGGAGUACGUCAAACACAAUUACUAAAAAAAGUACCGAAGGAAAACAGAAAGACAACACCAAGCAAGAGGCAUAGACAGUGCUUUCCUA
rnacentral:lncRNA from 1 species